CCGGGAAAGGCUGAUUGCGCCGUUGUGAAUCGCAUGUGUUUAGGAGCCGCUGUGGAGACUUAAAGAGCCCGUCGUUCUAGUGAUCGUGCCAACUACCAUUCCAAUAAACUUCAUGUCUUAUUUUGCUGUGGUACAGAGUCUCUCUUUGUGGCCCUGGCUUUUCUGGAACUUUGUAUGAAGACCAGGCUAGACUCGAACUCACGGAGAUCACUUUCCUCUGCCUCCUGAGCGUUGGAAUUAAAGGUAUUCAUCACUA